UACGGGGGGGGCAAGCGUUGUUCGGAAUUACUGGGCGUAAAGGGCUCGUAGGCGGCCAACUAAGUCGGAUGUGAAAUCCCCAGGCUUAACCUGGGAACUGCAUCCGAUACUGGAUGGCUUGAAUUCGGGAGAGGGAUGCAGAAUUCCAGGUGUAGCGGUGAAAUGCGUAGAUAUCGUGGAGGAAUACCGGUGGCGAAGGCGGCAUCCUGGACCGACAUUGACGCUGAGUGAGCGAAAGCUAGGGGAGCAAACGGG
rnacentral:rRNA from 1 species